UAGCUCAGUUGGUUAGAGCAACCGGCUCAUAACCGGUUGGUCGCAGGUUCGAGUCCUGC
rnacentral:tRNA from 2 species